rnacentral:rRNA from 1 species
UACGGAGGGUGCGAGCGUUGUCCGGAAUCAUUGGGCGUAAAGGGCGCGUAGGUGGCACGAUCAGCGUGCGGUGAAAGCUCGGGCUCAACCCCGGGUCGGCCGUGCGAACUAUCGAGCUGGAGCACUGUAGAGGCAGGCGGAAUUCCGGGUGGUAGCGGUGGAAUGCGUAGAGAUCCGGAAGAACACCAGUGGCGAAGGCGACUUUCUGGUCUGUAACUGACACUGAGGCGCGGAAAGCGUGGGGAGCAAACAGG